rnacentral:lncRNA from 1 species
AAAACCUCCUACAAAAGACAUAUGUUAAGCUUUUAUAUGCAAUAGGAAACAUUUUACUAUUUUAAAGAGGACUGUAGUGGCUGAGUGACAAAGAUCAGUGAGUUUGUGAAGAAGCAUGUAUCAGUGAGAUGUCGGGAGAGGAUUUCUCCAAAAUCUUAAGGAGGUUGUGACCUAAAGAUUCAACACCAAUUCCCUUUUAUAAGGUGUGGCACUUGCUUUGUUUUGUCUAGUUAAAUUGCAGCUGAAAAAUUGGUAGGUCCUGCAAAGUUUCUUCCAGUUUCAAUGAAAAGCUCUCUCUAGGAGGGUCAGGGCUGGAUCUGAGCCCCAGCUUACUUUAAAGUAAGUUGCCACAUGUGCUUACUGCUGCUCUUAUGCACAGGGCCCUCUUCGGUUUUACAUAUAAAAUAAAACCACAGCUCCCACCAAUGGUCAAGAUGCUGGUAUCAUAACCAGGGCUCUGUCGACCUGUUUAGGCCUGUAUUGCAUUUAUUACAGCUCCUGUGCUUUUCCAGCAGUGGGAACAGAAUUCACUUUUCAACUCUUGCUUUUUAAUAGUAGCACCAACACGUGUCUUAUAUCAGGGAAAUACCCUACUGUUUCCAUUCAGCAUUAUUGUCUGCAACUAAAGAUAGUUUUUGUCUUGGUUUGCAUUAUGGAUUUAAACAAUCUCAUGGAACUAACAAGGAACUGUUUCUCAUUUUCACUUCUGCGAGGAAUCACAGCCGUCUAUCUGAAAGUGCAGAAAGAAGAUUAGGGGGAUCCCACAUCAUGAACUGAAACACUGGAGAGAUAUAUGGUCAUGCACAGUCUGAGAGGAGGAGCUAAAGUGAGAAAAUCUGCAGGAGACCACGAUACAACCUCACUCACUCCAACUGCGCGUGACCACAAGAAGAAUCUGGGGAGCAGUGCAAAGGUGUCGCUGAGGCUGUUCCACCCAGGCAGAGCUGCUGAGACACCCCAGAGCCAGAUCGGGAGGUGAGCAACAGGGCUAUGAAACAGAGUCACGGACAGAUCCUGCUGGGAGCAGCCGCUCGCACUGCUGUACCUGGGGAUUACAUCUGCUCAGGAGGGCUCCCAGCCCGUCGGAUUGAGCGUAAAGGCAGAGGAGGAGAAAAUCCUCUUGAAAUUGAAUGUGAUGACAGGUAAGGGAUGCAUCACCUGCUUAACAAUGGGAGGAUUUCAACAGUUUCGCUCUUUCUCCAAAUCACUA